CUGGAUGUGACCACCUGUUGGACUAGAGAGCUGUUGGGGCUUUUGUGUCUGCUCUCCUUUGCUGCCCUUUGGGGCUGUCAGCGUCUCCAAGGGACUGGGUUUGAGGGAAAAAUGCUGUCCGACUGCUCGAGGGAGGGGACAUGUGAGCCAGGGUCUGAGGGGUGCGCUGCCUGGGACCUGCCCAGGGUGCAAUGACAUGGAGGGAAUCAAGAGGCGAGCCACGUGGAUGGUGUUCUAGGGUGAAACUGCAGAACCUUGAUCACCAGGCUAAGUACUUUGGACGUUUCUUCCUGAAGGCAGUUGGAUUCCUUUAAAGGCAAAUCUGACAUGUGCCAGGGAGACUGUCCCUGCCCACGCCUUCAGCUGUUUUGGAAAGUCCUUGCAGCCAGAAGUGCUCAUUAGCUGCGGCUCUCUGCCAGCCUCCUCCUGGGAGGGACAUUGUCCUGCUUCCCGGCUCCUCACCAUCUGCGGACCCACCCCAGGGCCCAAGUGAGAAAGAGGACCUGCUGGGUGAGCACUUUCCUGGAUGCAGGAGAAGGCUGGGAGCCGCGCCCUGACAGAACCGGGAGCAGCAGGACAUGUCCGCGGGCGGGAAGCCACAGCAGAGCCAGGAGGACUGUCACUCUAGGAGAAAGCUACAGUCCUGCUGGAAGCUCAGAAGAGACACACUGUUUGCUCUGGUUUGCUUGCAGAUGAAGCGCCAGCUGGGUUGGAUGCUCUUGCCUGAACGAAUGCAUGUGGGUUUUCCCCACAGCAGAGCUUGAUCUGAAGACCUGGGUGCAGGGAAGAAGCAGAGAGAUGGGGAAGGAGGAAGAGCAUUACCAAGAGUCCACACUGCUUUGAGCAGUACCGGCAUUACUCCCCCCGCCCGGCCCCUUUCAGGAAGCAUCUAGAUGCCUCUAGAAGACAGAUGUUUCUUCAGUGCUUCUGUCCCCUGUCACUGAAGGGACCUGCACUUGCCGGGGGCCUAGUGGGCCCUGAAAGACCCCUGCCUGUCCCCUGGACAGUGGUGACAAGUUCCUGAUAUUCUUCCUGCCUCUGUGUCUGCCUCCAACCUGCCCUGCGUGUACUGUCGGAGUAGCCUUCAAAGGAACUCCUGGCUCGCAAGGCUUCAUGAUGUCACUGAGAAGAGAUUAGCUGCUCGGGAUGGCUCCCCAGAUCUCUCCAGUUGACCUCAGACUCCUUGCAGGGAGCCUGGCCCCAGGCCAGCACCACUAGCACCCCCGGGCAC
rnacentral:lncRNA from 1 species